rnacentral:lncRNA from 1 species
CUCACACCUCCCAAUUGCUCAAUACACCCUUGUGAGACUCUCUUCUUUUGGCUUAAAGCAUUUUCCUAGCUACACCCCCAAAUUUUAGCCAAUUUUUAUCUUUUGUAUAUAUUUUUCAUUUAUUAUUUUCUUAUUAUUGUUUUAUUUAUUUAUUUUUGUUCUUUCUUUUAUUUUCUUUAUUUUUUUUAAUUCUUUUACCUCUUGGAUUGAUA